rnacentral:rRNA from 1 species
ACGAACGCUGGCGGCGUGCUUAACACAUGCCAGUCGAACGGAAAGGCCCUGCUUUUGUGGGGUGCUCGAGUGGCGAACGGGUGAGUAACACGUGAGUAACCUGCCCUUGACUUUGGGAUAACUUCAGGAAACUGGGGCUAAUACCGGAUAGGAGCUCCUGCUGCAUGGUGGGGGUUGGAAAGUUUCGGCGGUUGGGGAUGGACUCGCGGCUUAUCAGCUUGUUGGUGGGGUAGUGGCUUACCAAGGCUUUGACGGGUAGCCGGCCUGAGAGGGUGACCGACCACAUUGGGACUGAGAUACGGCCCAGACUCCUACGGGAGGCAGCAGUGGGGAAUAUUGCACAAUGGGCGGAAGCCUGAUGCAGCAACGCCGCGUGCGGGAUGACGGCCUUCGGGUUGUAAACCGCUUUCGCCUGUGACGAAGCGUGAGUGACGGUAAUGGGUAAAGAAGCACCGGCUAACUACGUG